GAUGAACGCUAGCUACAGGCUUAACACAUGCAAGUCGAGGGGAAACGAUAUUGGAAGCUUGCUUCUGAUAGGCGUCGACCGGCGCACGGGUGAGUAACGCGUAUCCAACCUGCCCAUCACUUGGGGAUAACCUUGCGAAAGUAAGACUAAUACCCAAUGACGUCUCUAGAAGACAUCUGAAAGAGAUUAAAGAUUUAUCGGUGAUGGAUGGGGAUGCGUCUGAUUAGCUUGUUGGCGGGGUAACGGCCCACCAAGGCGACGAUCAGUAGGGGUUCUGAGAGGAAGGUCCCCCACAUUGGAACUGAGACACGGUCCAAACUCCUACGGGAGGCAGCAGUGAGGAAUAUUGGUCAAUGGUCGGCAGACUGAACCAGCCAAGUCGCGUGAGGGAAGACGGCCCUACGGGUUGUAAACCUCUUUUGUCGGAGAGUAAAGUACGCUACGUGUAGUGUAUUGCAAGUAUCCGAAGAAAAAGCAUCGGCUAAACUCCGUG
rnacentral:rRNA from 1 species